rnacentral:siRNA from 1 species
AAAAAAAACCAUCUUGAUGUGAUUAAUGGUU